GACGAACGCUGGCGGCGCGCCUAACACAUGCAAGUCGAACGGAGUCAAGAGGAGCUUGCUUUUCUUGACUUAGUGGCGAACGGGUGAGUAACGCGUGAGUAACCUGCCCUGGAGUGGGGGACAACAGUUGGAAACGACUGCUAAUACCGCAUAAGCCCACGGAUCUGCAUGGAUCUGCGGGAAAAGGAUUUAUUCGCUCUAGGAUGGAGUCGCGUCCAAUUAGCGAGUUGGUGAGGUAACGGCCCACCAAGGCGACGAUUGGUAGCCGGACUGGGAGGUGGAACGGUCACAUUGGGACUGAGACACGGCCCAGACUCCUACGGGAGGCAGCAGUGGGGGAUAUUGCACACUGGGGGAAAACCUGAUGCAGCGACGCCGCGUGGAGGAAGAAGGUUUUCGGAUUGUAAACUCCUGUCGUUCGGGACGAUAAUGACGGUACCUAACAAGAAAGCACCAGCUAACUACGUG
rnacentral:rRNA from 1 species